rnacentral:rRNA from 1 species
CAAUAGCGUAUAUUAAAGUUGUUGCAGUUAAAAAGCUCGUAGUUGGAUUUCUGGUGAGAUGGAUUAUGUCUAGGUCGAAAGAUCUUGUUCAUGGUUCGUUUUGCCCUUCUUGUCAGGAACCCGCUGAGAUUCGCGUCUUGUCGGUGGAAUGGCAUCGUUUACUGUGAAAAAAUUAGAGUGUUCAAAGCAGGCAUCGCCGUUGAAUACAUUAGCAUGGAAUAAUAAGAUAAGACUUUGGUGGUCUAUUUUGUUGGUUUGCACGCCAAGGUAAUGAUUAAUAGGGAUAGUUGGGGGUAUUCGUAUUCUAUUGCUAGAGGUGAAAUUCUUAAAUUUAUGGAAGACGAACUACUGCGAAAGCAUUUACCAAGGAUGUUUUCAUUGA